rnacentral:rRNA from 1 species
CCUACGGGGGGCAGCAGUGAGGAAUAUUGGUCAAUGGGCGCGAGCCUGAACCAGCCAAGUCGCGUGCGGGAAGACGGUCCUAUGGAUUGUAAACCUCUUUUGUCGGGGAGCAAAAGACGCCACGCGUGGCGUUCCGAGAGUACCCGAAGAAAAAGCAUCGGCUAACUCCGUGCCAGCAGCCGCGGUAAUACGGAGGAUGCGAGCGUUAUCCGGAUUUAUUGGGUUUAAAGGGUGCGCAGGCGGAAGAGCAAGUCAGCGGUAAAAUUGAGAGGCUCAACCUCUUCGAGCCGUUGAAACUGGUUGUCUUGAGUGAGUGAGAAGUAUGCAGAAUGCGUGGUGUAGCGGUGAAAUGCAUAGAUAUCACGCAGAACUCCGAUUGCGAAGGCAGCAUACCGGCGCUCAACUGACGCUGAUGCACGAAAGUGUGGGUAUCGAACAGGAUUAGAUACCCCUGUAGUC